AAACGAGGCAACGUCGCCUUUAUAUAUAUAUAUAUAUAUAUAUAUAUGUAUGUAUAAAAUUUAUAAAUAAAAAAAUACCGCUCGAUAGCGAGUGGUUCACGUACCGGUUUACUAUCGGACCGGUACAUAUAUUAUUCGAAAUUGUAUACCUUGGCUUUAAUUGUUAGGAAUUCACAACUUUGUUGUUGUCGUUUUAAUUGUUGGAACUUCAUGAUUUCGGUGUUGUUGUAAUUGUUGGGAUUUCACUAUUUUGCUAUUGUUGUAAUAUUGGGCUUUACAACUGUGGUGUUGUAAUAGUUGGGACUUCAGGGUUUUAUUGUUGUCGUAAUAAUUUGGGAUUCAUGGCUUUGUAGUUGUUGUAAUAGUUGGAACUUCAUGGCUUUUUUUGUUGUUGCUGUCUUAGGUGGGAUUUUAUGGCUUUAUUGUUGCUGUAAUAGUUCGGACAUCAUGCCUCUGUUGUUGUAAUUGUUGGGACUUCACAGCCUUGCUGUUGUUAUAAUAGUUGAAACUUCACGGCUUUGUUGUUAUAAUAGUAAAGGCUUGGUGCCUUUGUUGUUGAUGUAGUUGUUGGGAUUUCGCGUCUUUGUCGUUGUCAUAAUUGUUGGGACUUUAUGGCUUUGCUGCGAUUGUUGUAAUGGUUGGGAGCUGGGACUUCAUGACUUUGUUGUUAUUAUUGGUGAAACUUCAUGGCUUUGUUGUUGUAGUUGUUGGGAUUUCAUGACUUUGUUGUUUGUUAUUGUUGAAACUUCAUGUUUUUGUUGUUGUAGUUGUUGGGAUUUCAUGACUUUGUUGUUGUUAUUGUUGAAACUUCACGGCUUUGUUGUUGUAGUUGUUGGGAUUUCAUGACUUUGUUGUUGUAAUUCUUGGGGCAGCAAUUGUGGUAAUGGUUGGGACUUCAUGACCUUGUUGUUAUUGGUAUUGUUGUUAUUGUUGAGACUUCACAGUUUUGUUAUUGUUGUAAUAGUUGGGAUUUCAUGGGAUUGUUGAUGUUGUUAUAAUUUUGGUGAUUUAUGGUUUUGUUAUAGUUGAAAUUGUUGGUGGUUCUCAGCUUUGUUUUUGUUGUAAUAGUUGGUGCUUCAUGGGUUUGUUGUUGUUGUAAUAAUCGGUGCUUUACUACUUUGUUGUUGUAAUAGUUGAGACUUCAUGGUAUUGUUGUUGCGAUAAUAGUUGUUAUUUUACGGAUUUAUUGUUGUUAUAAUAGUUUGGGGUUCUACAAUUGUGUUGAUGUAAUAGUUUGGGAAUUUAUGAUGAUUGUGUUGUUGUAAUAGUUGAGACUUCACGAUUUUCUUGUUGUAAUAGUUCGAACUUCAUGGCUUUGUUGUUGUAAUAUUCGGGACUUCAUGACUUUAUUGCAAUUGUUGCAAUAAUUGAGACUUCACGGCUUUGUGGUUGUUGAUGUAACAGUUGCGACCUCAUGACUUUAUUGUUGUUAUAAUUGCUGGGGCUGUUUAUAACUUUGUUAUUCUGAUAGUUGCAACUUUGCGACUUUUUGUUGUUGAAAUAAUUGGGGCUGUUAUUGUUAUUGCCAACUUUAUGGUUUUGUUGUUGUUGUUGUUGUAAUAAUUGGGAAUUUAUGAUUUUGUUGUUGUUUUAAUUGUUGGUAUUCUAUUACUUUUUAAUUGUCGUUGUAAUAGUUGGGACUUCAUGAAUUUGUCAUGUUGUAAUAGUUGAGAUUUUAUGGCUUUUUUUGUUGUUGUAAUAGUUGAGAUUUUGCGAUGUUGCUGUAACAUAUGGGACUUCAUAGUUUUCUUGUUGUUGUAAUAGUUUGGACUUCAUGACCUUGUUAUUGUUGUAAUAGUCAGGACUUCAUGGUGUUGUUGUUGUGAUACUUGGGACGAUGCCUUUAUUAUUGUUGUAAUUGUUGGUGCUUCACAAUUUUGUUGUUGUAGUUACUUGGAAUUCACAGCUUUAUUGUUGUAAUUGUUGGGAUUUCACAAUUUUGUUGUUGUUGAAUUCACAGCUUUGUUGUUGUCAUAACUGUUUGUGCUUCACAACUUUAUUGUUGUUGUUGUUUUAAUUGUUGG
rnacentral:lncRNA from 1 species